rnacentral:rRNA from 1 species
UUUUACUAGGAAUUAUUAGUAAUAAAAUCUGCUCAAUGAUAUUUAAAUAGCCGCAAAAUCUGUGCUAAGGGAGCAUAAUAAUUCGUUUUUUAAUUGAAAACUAGAACAAAUGAUUUAACAUUUUAAUAUAUAUAUAUAUAUAUAUAUAUAUUUUAAAUUAUCUUAAAUGUAAAAAGACAUUUUUAAAAAAGGAAGACGAUAAGACCCUACUGAACUUUACUAUAGUUUUACUGGGGCAGUUAAUUAAUUAAAAUUUUAAUUUAAAUAUACUAUAAAAAAUCUAAUUUAAUUAAAUAAACAAGUUACCAUAGGGAUGACAGUGUAAUAUAUAUUUAAAGUUCUUAUAUAAAUAAAUGAUUACAACCUCGAUGUUGAAUUAUAUUUUUUUUUCCGAAAAAGGAAAAAAAGAGGGUCUGUUCGACUUUUAAAAAAUAACA